GAUCUGCUCAGGAUGAACGCUAGCUACAGGCUUAACACAUGCAAGUCGAGGGGCAGCAUCAUCAAAGCUUGCUUUGAUGGAUGGCGACAGGCGCACGGGUGAGUAACACGUAUCCAACCUGCCGACAACACUGGGAUAGCCUUUCGAAAGAAAGAUUAAUACCGGAUGGUAUAGUUUUCCCGCAUGGGAUGAUUAUUAAAGAAUUUCGGUUGUCGAUGGGGAUGCGUUCCA
rnacentral:rRNA from 1 species